CCUACGGGUGGCAGCAGUGAGGAAUAUUGGUCAAUGGGCGGGAGCCUGAACCAGCCAAGCCGCGUGCGGGAAGAAGGUACUGCGUAUCGUAAACCUCUUUUGUCAGGGAAUAAAGGCGGGUACUUGUCCCCGGAUGAGGGUACCUGAAGAAUAAGCAUCGGCUAACUCCGUGCCAGCAGCCGCGGUAAUACGGAGGAUUCGAGCGUUAUCCGGAUUUAUUGGGUUUAAAGGGUGCGAAGGCGGCCGGUUACGUCAGCGGUAAAAGCCCGGGGCUAAACCCCGGCGAGCCGUUGAAACUGGCGGGCUGGAGUUGGAGAGAAGUACGCGGAAUGCGCGGUGUAGCGGUGAAAUGCUUAGAUAUCGCGCAGAACCCCGAUUGCGAAGGCAGCGUACCGGCUCCAUACUGACGCUGAGGCACGAAAGCGUGGGGAUCGAACAGGAUUAGAUACCCUUGUAGUC
rnacentral:rRNA from 1 species